rnacentral:rRNA from 1 species
UUUUAGAAUAAUUAUUUAAAGAGAUAAAUUUAUUUAUAAAUAAAUAUAAAAUAAAGAUAUUAAAGUUUGCUUAAAUAUUAAGAAAAAAUAUUGGUUAAUUAUAGAGGAUUAGUAUUGUGAUAGAAAUUAAGAAGAAUUUUCAAAGAAAAAUUUAUUUUUUGUACCUUGUGUAUCAGGGUUUAUCAAAUAAAAUUAUCAGAAGAUAACUUCUCGAAUUUAAAAGAGCUAUUUAAAUAUAAUUUUUAUUGUGGAAUAAAUAUUAUGAAUAUUUUUAUAGAUGUGAAAUGUUAUACGUUUUUAAAUAUAUCUAGUUUUUUAAGAAAUAAAUUUAAUUUAGACUUUUUGUAAUAUUAAUUUAACUGUUUAAUUUAAUAUUGGAAAAGAUUAAUAUUUUAGGGGAUGAGCUCUAAGAUAAAUUUUUAAAAGAAUAAAAGUUGAUAAUAAAGAAGUAGGAUUAGAAGUUUUUAUCUUUAAUAGUGUUUUAUAACUAAGUUAUUAUUAAAUAAGAUUUUUAUGAUCUUUAAAUUUUUUAUUAAAAAAUAAUUUAAAAUAAAUAAAAAUUAAAAAUAAUGAUAAAAUAAGUAAAAAGUAUUGUAAAGUUUUAUUAAAUCUUAAGGUUUGAUAAAGGAAUUCGGCAAAUGUAUUUCUCACCUGUUUAUUAAAAACAUGGCCUUUUGAAGAUAAUUUAAGGUCUAACCUGCCCGAUGAUUUUAUAUUAAAUGGCCGCGGUAAUUUGACCGUGCAAAGGUAGCAUAAUCAAUAGUUUUUUAAUUGAAAGCUGGUAUGAAUGGUUGAAUGAGGAAAUAGCUGUCUCUGUUAAAAUUUACUUGAACUUUAUUUUUAAGUUAAAAAGCUUAAAUAAAUCUAGAAGACGAGAAGACCCUAUAGAGUUUUAUAUUUUUUUAUAUCUAUAUUUUUAGAAUUUUUAUAUAUUUUUAUAAAAAAAUAUUUGAUUGGGGUGAUUGAAAAAUUGAAUAAACUUUUUUUAAAUAAAGCCAUAAAUUAAUGAUUUAUUGAUCCUUAUAUAAAGAUUAAAAGAUUAAAUUACCUUAGGGAUAACAGCGUAAUUUUUUUUGAGAGUUCUUAUCGAAAGAAAAGAUUGCGACCUCGAUGUUGGAUUAAAAUAAAUUUUUGGUGUAGGUGCUAAGAAAAUUAGGUCUGUUCGACCUUUAAAAUUUUACAUGAUCUGAGUUUAAACCGGUGUGAGCCAGGUUGGUUUCUAUCUCUAGAUUAAUAAAGUAACUUAGUACGAAAGGACUUGAUACUUAGUUAAUAAAUUUUUUAUUAAGAUUAAUAUU